UGUUUUAUUAUACUUCAUUUAUAUAUAUAUAUAUAUAUAUAUAAUAUAUUUCUUGUUAUAUUUUUUAUAGUUUAAUUAAUGUUAAAAUAACAUUAAGACAUAAUAGUGCGAAGAACGCCAUCUAAGAUGUUGAUCGUAAGACGAAUAUUUUGAUUGGUUGUAAUAUGUAUCACGUGAUAAUCAUGAAGAACUCAUAUCAUGCAUCGAUUGGAUAAAUUCUUUGGUAUGAAAUCUAAUAGAAAUAUAACCUAUUACCAUUUUCGACCAAUCACGAUUAACUCGAUCGACAGUCUGGCCAAUAGUAAAACUUUCAACGGUAUAUCCUUCUUAACUUAUAUUUUUGUGAUAUCAAUAACAUUUUGAAAAGAAUUUUCUACGUAAUAUGAAAAUGUAUAUAUAUAUAUAUCUAUUCUAUUAGUUCAUUUUAAUUAAUUAUUCUAUUUCUUCCGUAAUAUCUAUACGUUUCUUAAUUUAUCGAUAAUAAAAAUUAAUAACGAAAUACUAUGAAAAGUUUGACUUGUUAUAAUGCUGAUCGACGUUUAAUCGUUGAUCAAAAUUUGAUUGGUAAUCCAUGAGAGAUUGAUCGAAGUGUUUGUUAAAUUUAAUUAGAAGAAAAGAAAAAAAGGAGAAACACGCGAAUAUCACAGAAUGAUCAUAAUCGAAGAUUAGUAAUUAUUAAAUAUACACAAUUUUUCGUCUCGCAUGCAUCUUGGGAUGAACGUGCUAAUUGCAAGGCAGAAUGUGCAGUGGUGCUCUAUCAAAUUCAUCGAAACGAAAUCUUUCCCCAUUGGAGAACAUGAAAAUUAGAGCAAAGGGAGGGAAAAGAAAAAAAAAAAAAAAAAAAAAAAAAAAAAAAAAAAAAAAAAAAAAAAAAAAACUUAAAUAACAAUAAUAAUACUUAAUUAUCAUUAUUUAUGAUUUAUCAUUAAAAUUCCAAAUUUUUCUAAUAAUUAUGCUCUUUAUAAAUUCAAUUUAAUGAUAUAAAUACGUAAAUAUCUUGGGACAAAUUUAUAAAGCAUAAUUCUCUUCAAGCUAUAUAAUAGACGAACGAAUAUAUUGAUACAUACACACGCGUCGAUUUUAUUCCCGGAGGAUAUCUUUAAAUAUAAACGUAAAUAUUUCCUUUUCCUAUAACAACUUAAUUAUUUAUUAAAUCAUGCUAUCUCAUAAUAUAUCGGCAAUAAUGCUUUAGUCCAAUAUACACAUACAUACAUAUAUUAAUUUUUGCGGAUGUGAAGAGAAAGAAAUAAUAAUAAUAAUAAUAAUAAUAAUAAUAAUUAAAAAUAAAAAGAAAAUAAAAUAAAAGUAAAAGAAAAAAGAAAAAAAAAAUAUAUAUAUAUAUAUAAAAAGCAUUUACAAUUUCUAAAUCAUGAAUAUACGAAGAGUACACACACAAAGACAGAGAGAAAGAGAGAGAGAGAGAGAGAGAGAGAGAGAAAGAGAAAGACAGAGAGAGAGAGAGGGAGAGAGAGAGAGAGAGGGAGAGA